CCAAGGCGACGAUCGGUAGCUGGUCUGAGAGGAUGACCAGCCACACUGGAACUGAGACACGGUCCAGACUCCUACGGGAGGCAGCAGUGGGGAAUAUUGGACAAUGGGGGGAACCCUGAUCCAGCAAUGCCGCGUGUGUGAAGAAGGCCUGAGGGUUGUAAAGCACUUUCAGUGGGGAGGAGGGUUGACAGGUUAAGAGCUGGUUGACUGGACGUUACCCACAGAAGAAGCACCGGCUAACUCCGUGCCAGCAGCCGCGGUAAUACGGAGGGUGCGAGCGUUAAUCGGAAUUACUGGGCGUAAAGGGUGCGUAGGUGGUUUGAUAAGUUAUCUGUGAAAGCCCUGGGCUCAACCUGGGAACUGCAGAUAAGACUGUUGAACUCGAGUAUAGGAGAGGGUAGUGGAAUUUCCGGUGUAGCGGUGAAAUGCGUAGAGAUCGGAAGGAACACCAGUGGCGAAGGCGGCUACCUGGCCUAAUACUGACACUGAGGCACGAAAGC
rnacentral:rRNA from 1 species